CCUUUAGUGGGGACAACAUAUGGAAACGUAUGCUAAUACCGAAUGUGCUCUACGGAGUAAAGGAGCCCUCUUCUUGAAAGGUUUCGCUAUAGGAUGAGCCCGCGUGAGAUUAGCUAGUUGGUAAGGUAAUGGCUUACCAAGGCUACGAUCUCUAGCUGGUUUGAGAGGAUGAUCAGCCACACUGGGACUGAGACACGGCCCAGACUCCUACGGGAGGCAGCAGUGGGGAAUAUUGCACAAUGAGCGAAAGCUUGAUGCAGCCAUACCGCGUGUGUGAAGAAGGCCCGAGGGUUGUAAAGCACUUUCAAUUGUGAGGAAGAUAGUAUAGUUAAUACCUGUAUUAUUUGACGUUAACUUUAGAAGAAGCACCGGCUAACUCUGUGCCAGCAGCCGCGGUAAUACAGAGGGUGCAAGCGUUAUUCGGAAUUACUGGGCGUAAAGCGCGCGUAGGCGGGCUAUUAAGUCAGUUGUGAAAGCCCUGGGCUCAACCUGGGAACUGCAUCUGAUACUGGUAGUCUAGAGUUUAAGAGAGGGAAGUGGAAUUCCAGGUGUAGCAGUGAAAUGCGUAGAUAUCUGGAGGAACAUCAGUGGCGAAGGCGACUUCCUGGCUUAAAACUGACGCUGAGGUGCGAAAGCGUGGGUAGCGAACGGGAUUAGAUACCCCGGUAGUCCACGCCGUAAACGAUGUCAACUACCUGUUGGCCUUAUU
rnacentral:rRNA from 1 species